AGCAGCCGCGGUAAUUCCAGCUCCAAUAGCGUAUAUUAAAGUUGUUGCAGUUAAAAAGCUCGUAGUUGAAUUUCGGGGUUCAUACGUUGGUCGGGCUUUUUGGUCUGUACUAGCGUAAUGGAUUCCUACCUUCUGAAUAACCGGCAUGCCAUUAAUUUGGUGCGCCGGGGAAGCAGGACUGUUACCUUGAAAAAUUAGAGUGCUUAAAGCAGGCUAUCGCCUGAAUACAUUAGCAUGGAAUAAUGAAAUAGGACGGCAUGGUUCUAUUUUGUUGGUUUCUAGGAUCACCGUAAUGAUUAAUAGGGAUAGUUGGGGGCAUUAGUAUUCAAUUGUCAGAGGUGAAAUUCUUGGAUUUAUUGAAGACUAACUUCUGCGAAAGCAUUUGCCAAGGAUGUUUUCAUUAAUCAAGAACGAAAGUUAGGGGAUCGAAGACGAUCAGAUACCGUCGUA
rnacentral:rRNA from 1 species